GAUCAAGUGUCUGAAGGGCAUUUGGUGGAUGCCUUGGCAUGCACAGGCGAUGAAGGACGUGAUACGCUGCGAUAAGUCAUGGGGAGCUGCGAAUAAGCUUUGAUCCGUGAAUUUCCGAAUGGGGCAACCCACCUUCGACUACCGUUAAGUCUAAACUGCUCGCUCACGGCAGAUCGCUUCGCGAUCGCCUGCGCGGGCGCGCCGCAGGAGCGGCGGGCCGCAGUCGCGGCCUGACUGCCGUGCUCCCUUGAAGGGCGAGCGGCAGCCAGAGCCCGAACGGGCGACGGGCCUCAUGGCCCGCCCACGCGGAGGGCCUUCGGCCCGUGAGCGGUUUAGAUUAACGGUAGUCAACGAAGGUAUCUGACUCUGAAUCCAUAGGGGUUAGAAGCGAACUCGGGGAACUGAAACAUCUCAGUACCCGAAGGAAAGGACAUCAACCGAGACUCCGUUAGUAGUGGCGAGCGAACGCGGACCAGGCCAGUGGCCUCGUAUGAGAGAAGCCGAACACGUUGGAAAGCGUGGCGAGAUCGGGUGACAGCCCCGUAGGCGCAAGGCUCUUCGAGGUCCUCGAGUAGGGCGGGACACGUGAAAUCCUGUCUGAACAUGGGGCGACCACGCUCCAAGCCUAAGUACUCGUGCAUGACCGAUAGCGAACCAGUACCGUGAGGGAAAGGUGAAAAGCACCCCGACAAGGGGAGUGAAAGAGAACCUGAAACCGAAUGCCUACAAACAGUCGAAGCCCGGUCUUCAAAUCCUUCGGAUUUGAGACGGACUUCUCCUGAUUUUUUGUCUCACGCGCCGAACGCGGGUCUUCGACCCGCUGGCGCUGCGACGGCGCGCCGAACGAUCGGCGACGCGCGGUCGCGCUUGCGGUGCCUUCGCACCGGGGCGCCUUGUUCUCCUUAGGUUGGAGAGGAGGUUGCCUCGAAGCCUGAAAGGCUUCGCAAGGCCGAACGGCCGUCGCGCCUGAUGGCGCGCAAGCCAAGCGGGCGGAUGCCCGCGCCGGCGAUUGAGGCCCAGAAAAAAUCAGACGGAAGCCGGUCACCAAAUGCGAAGCAUUUGAUGACCGGGUGACGGCGUACCUUUUGUAUAAUGGGUCAGCGACUUAGUCUGGCGAGCAAGCUUAAGCCGAUAGGUGUAGGCGCAGCGAAAGCGAGUCUGAACAGGGCGUUCAGUUCGUCGGAUUAGACCCGAAACCGAGUGAUCUAGCCAUGAGCAGGCUGAAGGUGCGGUAACACGCACUGAAGGGCCGAACCCGCAUCUGUUGCAAUAGAUUGGGAUGACUUGUGGCUAGGGGUGAAAGGCCAAUCAAACUCGGAAAUAGCUGGUUCUCCGCGAAAUCUAUUUAGGUAGAGCGUCGGACUUAUUCUCCAGGGGGUAGAGCACUGGAUGGGCUAUGGGGACUCACCGUCUUACUGAUCCUAACCAAACUCCGAAUACCUGGAAGAACUAUCCGGCAGACACACGGCGGGUGCUAACGUCCGUCGUGGAGAGGGCAACAACCCUGACCACCAGCUAAGGUCCCCAAGUUAUGGCUAAGUGGGAAAGGAUGUGAAGUUUCCAAAACAACCAGGAUGUUGGCUUAGAAGCAGCCAUCAUUUAAAGAAAGCGUAACAGCUCACUGGUCUAAACAAGAGACUUUGCGCCGAAAAUGUACCGGGGCUCAAGCCAUACACCGAAGCUGUGGACUCCUUAGGGAGUGGUAGCGGAGCGUUCCGUAGGCCUGUGAAGGGCGACCCGUGAGGGCGCCUGGAGGUAUCGGAAGUGCGAAUGCUGACAUGAGUAACGAUAAAGGGAGUGAGAGACUCCCUCGCCGAAAGUCCAAGGGUUCCUGCUUAAAGUUAAUCUGAGCAGGGUUAGCCGGCCCCUAAGGCGAGGCCGAAAGGCGUAGUCGAUGGGAACCACGUUAAUAUUCGUGGGCCUGGCGGUAGUGACGGAUCGCGUGUGUUGUAAGGUCUUAACGGAUUGAUCUUGCAGCGAAGCGGUCCCGGGAAAUAGCUCCGCCGUAUAGACCGUACCCGAAACCGACACAGGUGGACUGGUAGAGAAUACCCAGGCGCUUGAGAGAACUCUGCUGAAGGAACUCGGCAAAUUGCACGCGUAACUUCGGAAGAAGCGUGACCUCUUCAUACGCAAGUGUGGAGGGGUGGCACAGACCAGGGGGUAGCGACUGUUUACCAAAAACACAGGGCUCUGCGAAGUCGCAAGACGACGUAUAGGGUCUGACGCCUGCCCGGUGCUGGAAGGUUAAGAGGAGAGGUGCAAGCUUUGAAUCGAAGCCCCAGUAAACGGCGGCCGUAACUAUAACGGUCCUAAGGUAGCGAAAUUCCUUGUCGGGUAAGUUCCGACCUGCACGAAUGGCGUAACGACUUCCCCGCUGUCUCCAGCAGAGACUCAGUGAAAUUGAAUUCCCCGUGAAGAUGCGGGGUUCCUGCGGUCAGACGGAAAGACCCCGUGCACCUUUACUAUAGCUUUACACUGGCAUUCGUGUCGGCAUGUGUAGGAUAGGUGGUAGGCUUUGAAGCCAGGGCGCCAGCCUUGGUGGAGCCGUCCUUGAAAUACCACCCUUAUCGUCAUGGAUGUCUAACCGCGGCCCGUCAUCCGGGUCCGGGACAGUGUAUGGUGGGUAGUUUGACUGGGGCGGUCGCCUCCUAAAGAGUAACGGAGGCGCGCGAUGGUGGGCUCAGACCGGUCGGAAAUCGGUCGUUGAGUGCAAUGGCAUAAGCCCGCCUGACUGCGAGACAGACAAGUCGAGCAGAGACGAAAGUCGGUCAUAGUGAUCCGGUGGUCCCGCGUGGAAGGGCCAUCGCUCAACGGAUAAAAGGUACGCCGGGGAUAACAGGCUGAUGACCCCCAAGAGUCCAUAUCGACGGGGUUGUUUGGCACCUCGAUGUCGGCUCAUCGCAUCCUGGGGCUGGAGCAGGUCCCAAGGGUUUGGCUGUUCGCCAAUUAAAGCGGUACGUGAGCUGGGUUCAGAACGUCGUGAGACAGUUCGGUCCCUAUCUGCCGUGGGUGUAGGAGUAUUGACAGGAUCUGACCCUAGUACGAGAGGACCGGGUUGGACGUACCUCUGGUGGACCUGUUGUGGCGCCAGCCGCAGUGCAGGGUAGCUAUGUACGGUCGGGAUAACCGCUGAAGGCAUCUAAGCGGGAAACCCACCUGAAAACGAGUGCUCCCCAUCAGAGCCGUGGUAGACGACCACGUCGAUAGGCCGGGUGUGGAAGCGUGGCAACACGUGAAGCUUACCGGUACUAAUCGCUCGAUCGGCUUGAUCGU
rnacentral:rRNA from 1 species